GCCAUUUAAUUCUUUAGAUCUCUAGCAUGCCAGGGGGCCUAUGUUUCCCCUUCACCAUUCCACAUGCAGCCACUAAUCUGCCUCCCAUGGGAGGACUAAAUAAUGUACAAGGGGUCAUAUCACCCUUUACAACAAGGACUGAGGACCUCUACAGAGCCCAGAAGGGCAUAGUAGGGGACGAGGGGAGAAGCUGGCUUAUUCCUACAAAAAGUAUAGAUGCCCCAAGCAUGUCUGAAUCCAUUCACUGUUGACGGACUCACUACCUCCGUCUAUUCCAAGCAUCAACUACUCUUUAGCACUCCUCCAUAAACGCUGUCAGAUCUUCAACCUUUUCUAAUUGUGCUUCAUCCGUCUUUACCUUUCGCUUUGGUGUGCACAUUUUGCAUGUCAUGUAAAAAGGUAACAAAAUCUAUUACAACUUUUAUUGUGGGGGAAAAUGAUAACAUCAGAAAGAACAGACAAGGAAAGUCCUUCUUUCUUCAAUCCUCUUCUAAUACAUCAGUUUGUCCAAUAAUUGGUUGUCUGUCAUAUGGUUGAACCAGGAUUACAAAAGAAUACAAAAUCGUAAUAAUGAGACAGCAUCCAAGUCAUACAGUAUCAGAAUAGAGGUAGAGCAACUGAACUGUAUGCAGUUAUUACAACAACAAUGAUAGUACAACAACAAUGAUAGGUAUCAUCAUAGGGGUUCUUAUUGUUAUUUCACAUGCCUUUAGUUCUGCCUUUCUCAUUUACCUGCAGAACAAACUGCCAUGUAAAAGUGCCAUGCUGGAACAAACAAUAACACUGCCAGGGGUACUUGAGUAGUUGUAUCUUCAGUUCAUUUUAAAGAAGAUUCAAACCAAGACGUCAUCCCCUCAAAGUAAGCCACACAUUGCUGGUCAGUGGCUUAUUUCCCAAGAGUAGUUAUUAAAUUAAUGCAGAUCACUGCCAGUCUCUGCUCUUCCUUUGACGUAUUUCACUCAGCCUCUAUGACUAAUCCCAUACUUUGGGUGAGAAAACCCUGUUAAGCAAUGUUGAUUGUCUAUAGUAAUGUCAUCACUAGACACAGGAGUCGGCAGCUGCCAAAGUGUUGACACCCACGGUAAGAUGAUGCAGAACAGAACCCAUAGGGAAGGUCUGGAAGGUAGCGGUGUUGAGGUAAAAAAUCAAGGUCACGCACUGAUAAGGAAUAGGAUGCACUGAUAAGGAAUAGGAUGCAGGUGAGAGAGGUGAGAGAGACAUUGAGAGAGACAUUGUCUGGAGCCAGGGUGGCAUCAUACACAGGAGAGUAGUAUAGUUGGAGAGGUCAGGAGCCAAGCAAGGGUCAUACAUGGUACUGUAGAUCAAUGGAAACAAGGAAACUAAGUUCUUCAGGAGUCAGGCAAAGGGACGUUCAGGGGAAGGCCAAGUCAAUAGCAAGUAGUCAGAGUAAACAUACUGUAGGAUCGGGAUACACAGAAACAAGAAUAACAGACUAGCUGAAGAUCAUCCAGCAAUUACCUGUCACUACUCUUUCCCUUACAUUGGGCAUUUGGUGCCAGUUCUGGAUUCGGAUGUGAGCGCAUUUCUGCACAAAAACUAGCGUGUCGGCACUGGGUGCUGGAGGAAGUUCCCAACCUGUGUCUUGGCCAUGCACACCUUUAUUCCAGAUAGCAUACUGGCAGUAUAGAUGUGUACAUGUGCUGUUAUAAAGUGCUUUUCAGCAAAUAUGUGUUCUUUUUAUUUUUAACUAUUUUUAAUAAAAGUUAUAAUACAAGUGGUGAUAUGCUAUUAAGUCUCUCUUGCCCUGUUUACAUUUGAAAAUGUUGAUAAUUUUUGGAGCAUGGAUGAAAGAACAGUUGUACUUCAUUAAUGUGCCAUUAUUGAAGAACAUACACCGAUCAGCCAUAACAUUAAAGAAUAUGUUACCCCAA